rnacentral:rRNA from 1 species
AGUGAACGCUGGCGGUAGGCCUAACACAUGCAAGUCGAACGGCAGCACAGUAAGAGCUUGCUCUUACGGGUGGCGAGUGGCGGACGGGUGAGGAAUACAUCGGAAUCUACUUUUUCGUGGGGGAUAACGUAGGGAAACUUACGCUAAUACCGCAUACGACCUACGGGGGAAAGCAGGGGAUCUUCUGACCUUGCGCGAUUGAAUGAGCCGAUGUCGGGUUAGCUAGUUGGCGGGGUAAAGGCCCACCAAGGCGACGAUCCGUAGCUGGUCUGAGAGGAUGAUCAGCCACACUGGAACUGAGACACGGUCCAGACUCCUACGGGAGGCAGCAGUGGGGAAUAUUGGACAAUGGGCGCAAGCCUGAUCCAGCCAUACCGCGUGGGUGAAGAAGGCCUUCGGGUUGUAAAGCCCUUUUGUUGGGAAAGAAAAGCAGCAGGUUAAUACCCCGCUGUUCUGACGGUACCCAAAGAAUAAGCACCGGCUAACUUCGUG